rnacentral:rRNA from 1 species
GAAUAUUGCGCAAUGGGGGAAACCCUGACGCAGCGACGCCGCGUGAGCGAAGAAGGCCUUAGGGUUGUAAAGCUCUGUUGUAAGGGAAGAACGGCAGCAGGAGUAAUAUGCCGGCUGCAUGACGGUACCUUACGAGGAAGCCCCGGCUAACUACGUGCCAGCAGCCGCGGUAAGACGUAGGGGGCGAGCGUUGUCCGGAAUUACUGGGCGUAAAGAGCACGUAGGCGGGUAUUUAAGUCAGGUGUGAAAGACCGCAGCUUAACUGCGGGGUUGCAUUUGAAACUGGGUAUCUUGAGGGCAGGAGAGGGCAGUGGAAUUCCUGGUGUAGCGGUGAAAUGCGUAGAAAUCAGGAGGAACACCAGUGGCGAAGGCGGCUGUCUGGACUGACCCUGACGCUGAGGUGCGAAG